GACGAACGCUGGCGGCGUGCUUAACACAUGCAAGUCGAACGAUGAAGAAAAGAAUCGAAGCUUCGGCAGAAAUUCAUUUCGGAUUAGUGGCAGACGGGUGAGUAACGCGUGAGCAACCUACCUCUUACAAAGGGAUAGCCUCGGGAAACCGGGAUUAAUACCAUAUAACAUUGCGACGAAGCAUUUCGAUGCAAUCAAAGCUACGGCGGUAAGAGAUGGGCUCGCGUCCCAUUAACCGGAUGGUGAGGUAACGGCUCACCAUAGUGACGAUGGGUAACCGGCCUGAGAGGGUGAACGGUCACACUGGGACUGAGACACGGUCCAGACUCCUACGGGAGGCAGCAGUGGGGAAUAUUGCACAAUGGAGGGAACUCUGAUGCAGCGACGCCGCGUGAGUGAUGAAGGAAUUCGUUUCGUAAAACUCUGUUCUAUGGGAAGAAAAGGACUGUACCAUAGGAGAAAGCUCCGGCUAAAUACGUG
rnacentral:rRNA from 1 species